ensembl:lncRNA
UUUAUUCAAGUAUAAUUAUCGGCUACCGUUGAGUUGAGGAAUCAGUUUGAUGCAAAAAGUAAAAAGUCUCCAGUUGUCUUAAAUAUGAAUAUUAUCAGAUUGUUGUGAGCAAACCAGAGAUUUGAGGACUUGUUUUAUUUUCAUAAACUAAACAGCUAAUGGAAAAAGUAAUCCACAGGUUUACAGACCAUGAAUCACUAGCUAGUAUGAUCUUUACUCGAGAUACUCGAGCAUCUGGCCUCCUCCAGGUAGGACUUUCAGAAUGAAUGUUUGAGGAGGUCUGGAGGGAUUUAAUGAGUCUCGUGCUUCUCUGCUGCAGUGUGGAGAGCGAUUACAGAAGCACGUGAGACUAUUAAGAGUUCCCACCAACACCAGGUUCUCUUCCUCAAAGUGUACCGACUCACACCUCAGAUCUCCACGAGGCUUCAUGUGUAUGAAUCCAAACCCGAUCUGAAAGCUUCUUCUGGUUCUUCUUCUUCAUCGCUGUGGAUCCUCCGGCUUCAGAGGACUCGCCUCAUGAAGGCUGAAAAGCUUCUGGUCCACUUCUGCAGACAAAAGGGAUUCAAGAGACUCACACGACUCUGUACUGACAACGACUCACCUGACCACCGACACUAACGACUCACCUGACCACCGACACGAACGAGUCACGUGACUACUGACACUAACGAGUCACAUGACUACCGACACUAACGAGUCAGGUGACUACCGACACUAACGAGUCACCUGACUACUGACACUAACGACUCACCUGACUACCGACACGAACGAGUCAGGUGACUACCGACACUAACGACUCACGUGACCACCGACACUAACGAGUCACAUGACUACCGACACUAACGAGUCAGGUGACUACCGACACUAACGAGUCACCUGACUACUGACACUAACGACUCACCUGACUACCGACACGAACGAGUCAGGUGACUACCGACACUAACGACUCACGUGACCACCGACACUAACGAGUCACAUGACUACCGACACGAACGAGUCAGGUGACUACCGACACUAACGACUCACGUGACCACCGACACUAACGAGUCACAUGACUACCGACACGAACGAGUCAGGUGACUACCGACACUAACGACUCACGUGACCACCGACACUAACGAGUCACAUGACUACCGACACUAACGAGUCAGGUGACUACCGACACUAACGAGUCACAUGACUACCGACACUAACGAGUCACGUGACUACCGACACGAACGAGUCAGGUGACUACCGACACUAACGACUCACGUGACCACCGACACUAACGAGUCACAUGACUACCGACACUAACGAGUCAGGUGACUACCGACACUAACGAGUCACGUGACUACAGACACUAACGAGUCAGGUGACCACCGACACUAACGACUCACGUGACCACUGACACUAACGAGUCACAUGACUACCGACACUAACGAGUCAGGUGACUACCGACACUAACGAGUCACGUGACUACAGACACUAACGAGUCAGGUGACUACAGACACUAACGAGUCACGUGACCACCGACACUAACGAGUCAGGUGACUGAUAAGUCAAACUAAUAACAAUAUCUCAAUUUAUUUUAUCUUUUUUUAUUACAAUUUUGUAUCAAAGGUGCACAUUAAUAAAUCACAUAAGUCUUUAUAACUUUAACUCACAGUAAAAGACGUCUCAUGUCAGUAAUGGUUCUUUUAAUUCUGUGAAUCACUAAUUAGCAGAAGGUGGUUUAAUACAAGACGAGCAGCAGAGAUCCAGUAGAAUAGAAAGAUUCAUAGCAGACGCCUCCUUAAUUCCCCUUUAUGCUAAUUAAUAAUAAUCAAAGCUGCUUAUGUAACGGUGCACAACAGAAGGAGUCCUCCGUUCCGUCUCUCCAUCUUCCUGUGAUUUGACUUGAAAAUCUGUGUUUUGAGCUUUGACAGCAGCUCAGAUCGUGGUGAUAAAAAGCCGGUUGGUUACGUAACGCUGCUGCCCACAUAACCCCAGAUUACUGCUCUACAGGAGGAUGUGAUCAUCUCCACCACACCGACGAGUCACGUGACCAACUAGUGACUCGGGAGGACGGGGAGGACUGAGAGGACUGGGAGGACAGGGAGGACUGAGAGGACAGGGAGGACAGGCAGGACGGG